GAUGAAUGCUAGCGAUAGGCUUAACACAUGCAAGUCGAGGGGCAGCAUGGUCUUAGCUUGCUAAGACUGAUGGCGACCGGCGCACGGGUGCGUAACGCGUAUGCAACUUGCCUCACAGAGGGGGAUAACCCGUCGAAAGACGGACUAAUACCGCGUACACUCCAUCUUGGGCAUCCAAGGUAGAGGAAAUGAAAUUCGCUGUGAGAUAGGCAUGCGUCCCAUUAGCUAGUUGGUGAGGUAACGGCUCACCAAGGCGACGAUGGGUAGGGGAACUGAGAGGUUGAACCCCCACACUGGUACUGAGACACGGACCAGACUCCUACGGGAGGCAGCAGUGAGGAAUAUUGGUCAAUGGGCGAGAGCCUGAACCAGCCAAGUCGCGUGAAGGAUGACUGUCUUAUGGAUUGUAAACUUCUUUUAUACGGGAAUAACAAGAGUCACGUGUGACUCCCUGCAUGUAUCGGAUGAAUAAGCAUCGGCUAACUCCGUG
rnacentral:rRNA from 1 species